UACAGAGGUCCCAAGCGUUGUUCGGAUUCACUGGGCGUAAAGGGUGCGUAGGCGGUCGGGUAAGUCUGAUGUGAAAUCUCACAGCUUAACUGUGAAACUGCAUUGGAUACUAUCCGGCUCGAGGAAUGGAGGGGAGACUGGAAUUCUCGGUGUAGCAGUGAAAUGCGUAGAUAUCGAGAGGAACACCAGUGGCGAAGGCGAGUCUCUGGACAUUUCCUGACGCUGAGGCACGAAAGCCAGGGGAGCAAACGGG
rnacentral:rRNA from 1 species